rnacentral:rRNA from 1 species
UGGGGAAUAUUGCACAAUGGGCGAAAGCCUGAUGCAGCAACGCCGCGUGAACGAUGAAGGUCUUCGGAUCGUAAAGUUCUGUUGCAGGGGAAGAUAAUGACGGUACCCUGUGAGGAAGCCCCGGCUAACUACGUGCCAGCAGCCGCGGUAAUACGUAGGGGGCUAGCGUUAUCCGGAUUUACUGGGCGUAAAGGGUGCGUAGGUGGUCCUUCAAGUCGGUGGUUAAAGGCUACGGCUCAACCGUAGUAAGCCGCCGAAACUGGAGGACUUGAGUGCAGGAGAGGAAAGUGGAAUUCCCAGUGUAGCGGUGAGAUGCGUAGAUAUUGGGAGGAACACCAGUAGCGAAGGCGGCUUUCUGGACUGCAACUGACACUGAGGCACGAAAGCGUGGGUAGCAAACAGGAUUAGAUACCCUGGUAGUCCACGCUGUAAACGAUGAGUACUAGGUGUCGGGGGUUACCCCCCUCGGUGCCGCAGCUAACGCAUUAAGUACUCCGCCUGGGGAGUACGCACGCAAGUGUG